GCCAUUAUCAUUUUUUUUGUUUCUACUAACCGAAUGUAAAAGAAAAGAAAAAGGAAAGAACAAGCUAAGGGUUCGGCCAUUUUAAAUUUUGAUUAAGAUCAAGAACCAAAGAAAUCGGAGCUAGAUCGGGGAAAAACCAAAAUCGUCGAUUAAUUAUCCGAUUUCAAUUUUUCACUGUCCGAGACUUUGGGAGUCGCGUUACGAGCUCGGGGAUCAUCAGAUCAAGAAAUGAAGAAAACAGAGUUAGAUUGGGGGAAAUCGAAAGUAGCCGAGUAGUC